GUGGGGAAUAUUGGACAAUGGGCGCAAGCCUGAUCCAGCCAUGCCGCGUGAGUGAUGAAUGCCCUAGGGUUGUAAAGCUCUUUCAGUGGGGACGAUAAUGACGGUACCCACAGAAGAAGCCCCGGCUAACUUCGUGCCAGCAGCCGCGGUAAUACGAAGGGGGCUAGCGUUGUUCGGAUUUACUGGGCGUAAAGCGCACGUAGGCGGAUCGUUAAGUCGAGGGUGAAAUCCUGGAGCUCAACUCCAGAACUGCCUUCGAUACUGGCGAUCUUGAGUCCGGAAGAGGUGAGUGGAACUCCUAGUGUAGAGGUGGAAUUCGUAGAUAUUAGGAAGAACACCAGUGGCGAAGGCGGCUCACUGGUCCGGUACUGACGCUGAGGUGCGAAAGCGUGGGGAGCAAACAGGAUUAGAAACCCGUGUAGUCC
rnacentral:rRNA from 1 species